rnacentral:lncRNA from 1 species
AUAGAAUCAAUUGUUAUGAUAAUUGUCGUUGGUUCUCCCGAUAGAUUCUGAGAUCCCCAAAUAGUUUAAUUUCUUUUUUCCGUUGCUGUCAAUUUUGCGAUUUUAAAAUCGCAAGAUUUUUUGUCACCUAUUUCGUUGCCAAUCUUGUGAGUCCGCGCCAACAGUUCUCGUCAAUCUUGUGGUUUCAUCGUCACUCAUCGCAUUCGUUCCAAUCUCGUUGCUAAUCCUUCUAGUCGUCAUUCUACAUUCGUUCCAGGUCUGUUCUGCCUACUUUUUCUGUGGUUUAAAAUCGUCAUUUUUUUUUGGUUUUUUCUGCCAUUGCCGUUGCCAGCAGGUGUUGAUUUUUCCAUUGAUUAAAUUGUUGAUUUAGGGAAUUUGAGUCUAGGGAAUUGUUGAUUAUUGUUUGCCGUUAUUUUCUGAGAAUUUUGGAAGUAAAAUUCACAACAUUCUCUCGGCUGCAUUCUCCUCAAUCAUGAGAUAAGACUAGCAUCAAACAUUGCACCUUCUGUAGAGGACUCGUUCUCGUUAAAUUAUAUCACGAGACAAAGGUAUAAUUUAAAUCAAAAUUCAUAUGCUUAUAAUAAUAAAAAUCAGAAUUCUAGCUUGCCAAAUUAAACAACCCUCAAAGGUGACUCCCUAUUCCUUUAUGAUAUGUCAAAUCUGUGAGAAGAGAGGCCACAUUGCUUCUAGUUGCUAUAACAGGUUCAAUAAGUCUUUCAACGUAGGUCAGAAUAAGCAAGCACAUAUAGUGUUUGAGAAAGAGGAUGUUGGGAGUGAUACAACUAUGUGGUUUCCUGACUUUGGAGCUUCAACCCACAUUACUUCUUAUUUUGAGAAUCUGAGUUUUGCAGCUCCAUAUGAGGGAGAUGACAAGGUCACCAUUGCCAAUGGUACUGAUAUGGACAUUUUACACAUUGGAACUUCUUACUUGAAUUGUAAUAAUAAGAAAUUAUUUUUAAAAGAUCUCUUACAUAUUCCUGUUACAUCAAAGAACUUAAUUUCUGUUCAAUUUUUUUGUCAAGAUAAUAAUGUUAUCUUUGAAUUUGAUGAAUCUAAGGUGGUGGUGAAAGAUAAACACACAAGUGAAGUCUUAAUUAAAGGAGAUGUUAGGGAUGGGCUAUAUUCCUUCAGUACAGGUUCAUCCAUCCCACAUCAUGCUUUUCUUUGUGAAAAGGCCUCAUUAAAUAAAUGAUAUCUUAGAUUUUGGCAUAUUAAUGAGAACAUAACUAGAAAAAUUUGUAAUAAAUAUGAUUUGCCUAUUUUAAACAAUAAAUUUGAUAAAUGUAUUUCUUGCUCAAUUAGUAAAUAUCAUAAACUUCCUUUUUCAUCUUCUGAUUAUUCUGUUAAUAGGCCCCUAGAAUUGGUUUUUAGUGAUGUUUGGGGACCAUCUCCUCACACUUCACCACAAGGCUUUAGAUACUAUAUAUAUUAACUUUGUUGAUGUGUUCAGCAAAUGCAUUUGGAUCUUUUCGAUCCAGUGUAAAUCAGAGGUAUUUUCAAAAUUUCAGGAAUUUAAAACUAAUAUUGAAAAACAGUUAAAUUUGAAAAUAAAAGCAAUACAAACGGAUAAUGGUAGGGAAUAUAAAAAUACACUCCGGAUCACAAACGCCUACCCGUCCCCUGCGACACGUCUGUGAUCCGGAGGGGUCAACGUAGAUAUUCGAUUUCCCUUGACCUUGUCUAUAAGAUUUCGAUACGACAGUUUCAGUUGAAUUAUCGUUGGUUCCAGUUGAAAUCUCCUGGGAAGUUAAAACUCUCCCCCUCUGGUAUCAUUAUCUCUGCUAGAGGCGAUGUUUCCAACUCCGCGACCUUGUCUACUCAGAUCGUACCGUCUGCUCUUCGUCUUCACGACUCCUCGUUGAUAAAUCCAACGUCUUCACGGCGGACAUGUGAUCGCAAAAUCCCAUUUUCUUCCUUCCUUCCUUCCUUCCUUCGUUCGUUUUUUUUCUUUAUCGAAACAAGGUUUAAUUAAUCGCGAGGUCUGUAUUUUCCCAUACAGGUGGUGAAACGAUUCCUAGUCCCAGCUCCGGUCCCAGAAACGAUUCAUCGUCGGUGGCACGGGACAUCGAAGCUCUGACCAUAGGUGAAGCAUUGGAAGCAACAACAGUUACGAUUGGGAAUAAACCAGCAGAUUCCACAGAGUCAACUGAUUGUGUGCCAUCUGAUGGAUCCUCCUUGGCAGCAGAUUCCGACAACUGUGAUUCAUCGAUACAUUUCAAGCAGCUUCCGACGAACAUCAGGUACUUUGAUAGUAAAUUCCAGUUCCAGUUCUAGUCUAGUUCCCGGAACUGCAAUCGACGGUUCCAGGAACUACUCAUCGCUUCCCCGAAACUCGAUUCCAGUUUCGAGGAACUCGCGAUGGGUUCCCGGAACUGCAAUCGACGGUUCCAGUAACUACUCAUCGCUUCCCCAAAACUCGAUUCCAGUUCCGGGGAACUCGCGAUGGGUUCCGCGAUUGCAAUUCUUGGGAUGUGCGUUCCGCGAUUGCAGUUCCACGGAUGCAUGGGUUCCGCGAUUGCAGUUCCUCGGAUGGGUUCCGCGAUGUGUUCAGGGGAACCGACGGUCGGAUCGUAUGCCCGCAAAUGGUACCGUAGGAAAAACGAUCCGUUCCAAAAUCGCACCCUAUAAAAAUAACACAUUUAAAUCAUACUUAAUUAAACAUGGAAUUACUCAUCGGUUUUCUUGCCCCCAUACACAUGAACAAGUAGGAGUUAGUGAAAGGAAGCAUAGACACAUUGUGGACAUGGGUCUAGACUUAAUAGAAAAAUCUACCCUACCUCUGAAUUUAUGGCCUUAUGCUUUUAUAAGUGCUAUAUAUUUAAUCAAUCAUUUAUCAACUAGUAAUUCUCCUGAGUCACCUCAAGAGACUUUAUUUAAUAAAAGUCUAGAUUAUAAAUUUUUCAAAGUUUUUGGUUGUACAUGUUUCCCCAAUCUAAGACCAUACAGAUCACAUAAAUUCUCUUUUCGAUCUGAAAAAUGUGUAUUUCUUGGCUAUUCUCUGAAUAACAAAGGAUCUUUGUUAUAAUUUUCUAAAUGGAAAAAUAAUAAUAUUUAGAGAUGUGAUCUUCCAUGAGGAUGAUUUCUCAACUGCAAGGAUGAUUAAUAAAAAUCAAGUGCAUGAGAAAUCUGAAUUUAUAGAUGCUACUAACAAGCUUGUUGUCAUUAGACUAGGAAUAAUUCAUGACCAGAUAAAUCAGGAAGAGGAUAGAGAAAGUUUAAGUAAUGGUCAGGAAGAGGAAACAUCUCCAAACAACUCUCAAACAAUUGAAAACCUUCUUCAGAUUUUAUAUCAUCUACAGAUAAAUUUACAUUUGAUUCGUCUAUUAAUGAUAUUAGAAAUAUUGAGUCCAGAAUAGUAACUAGAAAUAUGAAUGACAUUUAUAAACCAAAUCCAAAAUAUACUCUUUCGGUGUCAUUAAGUGAAAAAAACACCUAAUUGUUUCACACAAGCUAAAGCAAACCCAAAAUGGGUAACUGCAAUGAAUGAAGAAUAUAAUGCUCUGUUGAAAACCUCAAUAUGGGAGCUAGUUAAGCAAAAACUUAAUAUAAACAUCAUAAGAUGUAAAUGAGUUUUUAAAAUAAAGCAAAAAUCAGAUGAGACUAUUAAUAGGUAUAAGGCCAGAUUAGUGGCCAAAGGAUACAAUCAGAGGAAAGGAAUAGAUUACGAGGAUACUUUCUCUCCUGUUGUGAAACCAGUAACAAUCAGAAUAAUUUUCUCAAUAGAUGUAUCUAACAACUGGAUAAUGAAGCAAUUAGACAUAUCCAAUGCUUUUCUAAACGGGAACUUAAAGGAACUAAUGUAUAUGACGCAACCACCUGGUUUUGUCAAUCAGAACACAAAGACCAUGUUUGUCUCCUAAAGAAGUCUCUUUAUGGUUUGAAACAAGCUCCUAGGGCCUGGUACGAAAGACUGAGGUAUUUUCUGAUUGAACUAGGUUUCAAUGACAAUAUCUCAGAUCCUUCAUUAUUCACUAAAGUCACACCUAAGGGUAAAAUGUUCUUCCUCAUAUAUGUGGAUGACAUAAUUCUUACUGGUUCUAAUCCUAUUGAGGUAGAAGAAAUGGUGGGUUCUCUAAAUAAUGAGUUUAAGCUUAAGAACAUGGGUAGACCUUCAUAUUUUUUAGGAGUAGAGGUCAUAUAUAAUAGAUCUGGAAUUCACCUAAACCAGACUAAGUAUAUGAAAGACUUACUGAUCAAGUUUGGGUUUGAAACUAUCAAAUCUUCUAAAACGCCAAUUUCUUAAAAUAGUUCGAUUUACACAGAACCAGGUGAGCAACUUCCUGAUCCCAAAAUAUAUAGAAGUGUUGUAGGUAGUCUUCAAUAUCUAGCUAUAACAAGACCCGACAUUGUUUUUGCUGUAAACAAAGUUUGUCAGUUCAUGUCUAAUCCUUGUGAAACUCAUUGGAUUGAGGUAAAGAAAAUAUUUAGAUACCUGUCAGGAACUUUAAAUCACGGACUUGCUAUUAGAGCAAUCAAGAACUCUAAUAUUCAGGUUUUUUCUGACAGUGACUGGGUAGGAGAUAAACUAGAUUGUAAAAGUCAAGGAGGUUUCUUAGUCGUUCUUGGAGCAAAUCUAAUGAUCUCUUGAAAUUCAAAGAAACGACCGACAAUAUCCAAAUCCAUCUGUGAGGCUGAAUUUAGGAGUCGCGGCCACAACAACUCAGGAAUUAAUCUGGGUACAACAGCUACUAAAAGAACUUGGUUUUGAAACAACCAUUCCCACACUAUUGUGUGAUAACAUGGGAGCAUUACAUCUUUCUGCAAAUCCUCUAUAUCACGCAAGAACAAAACAUAUAGAAAUAGAUUUUAAUUUUGUUAGAGAAAGAUUUAGAGACAAACAAUUAUUGGUUAAAUACAUUUCAAUAACAGAACAAUUAACAGAUAUCAUGACCAAACCUUUGGGAGCUUCAAUUUUUUCAAAAUUUAGAGAUAAAUUGGUCAUUGGGGUGCAACAUAAGAUAGUCUAACCCUCUUAAGAAAUAUCUAUUGAUAAAUGAAUGAAUUCAUCUUAACUUCCCUUACUUGCUUAUUACAUGAAAUACUUCAAUUAUUCAAUGAUUCAAUUGUAUAUAUGGUGUAUGAAAUAUUUAGAUAUAUGCAGGUUGCAUGAAAUACUCUAUUUGAAUGAUGUGGUGCUUGUAAGUUUUUCUAUGUUGUUGUUUCUGCCUGCAGGAAAUUUAUAUGUUGCAGGUCACUAGAAUGUCUUUUGAACUAAGUCUGGAUUUUCAGAAAUCAUACACUCAAAUUUAAGUCAAAAUAUACAGUCAUAUAUUUCUACAAUAUAUAUUUUUUUUUGAACUACAUACUAGUAAUCCAUGUGCAUGGUUUGUUCUUGUUUUUUGCAGAUUACUAUCUUAUAAGAUACUAUCUCUCAAUGGAUUGCUAUCAUCUCUUUGUUUGAGGUGAACAUUGGUGUAUCUAGCAUGAUGGGUAGGUUUUUCCCGGAAAAAGAUGUGAAAAACCACACACAUUCAAAAGAUGCCAAAAGAGCACACCUGAGUUUUUUCAUCUACCCAUCAUCCUGUUUACUCUGAGCUAAGAGUUAAGUUUCUCCGCUAUAUUCACAACAAGAUGGAAAUAACAAGAUGAUUCUUGAUGACUACUUUCUCAGUUCGUGAAUCCUACACAAAUCAAGAUUCUGCAUUCAAAUAUUUAUUCCCAGAAUGUUAGAUUUGAGAGGGAAUAUUAGAUAAAUAAUCAUAUAAGUAAUUAUAUGUUAUGGAAAAACUUCUAGAAUGGCACGUCCGCACGAUGAUCACCGUGCAGACACCAGAUCGGAGGUUCCGUGGAGAUGGGUUCCACGGAACUGGCGAUGGGUUCCACAAAACCGAAAUUGCAGUUCCGUGGAACCGCAAUCGAGUUCCGCGGAACUCGCGAUGGGUUCCGCGAAACCGAAAUCGAGUUCCGCCGAACCGCGAUCGAGUUCCGCCGAACUGAAAUCACUGUUCCGGUCAUGAUAUAUAUAUAUAUGACAAUCGGCGUCGGGAAUCCUUUGGCUUUCGUUCAUGGUGUUUUUCGCUUCUGUGUAAGUAAGCCAGCAAACAGAUUAAUCAAUUAGAUGAAUAAAUAAAUGAAUUUUAUAAGAAAUCAACGGUCAUAAUGAUGAACUCAUGAAUUGAAC